GGUCUUCUGCAUGGCUUCCUGUUUGCUGCUCUCACCGUUGCUGGUAGAUGGCAUCUCUGCUGGGACAGAGGGGCAACUCAUACUCUGGCCAGACUGGGCAGCACAGGUGCUAACGCGGCUUGGCUGUCACCUUCAAUGCAUCACCCGAGGCUGAGAGCCCCCCUCGUCAUUCCUAGCUUGCAGCCUCACAAUUCCAUUUCCCCACCCAAAUACAUCCAUUUUAAUAUGCACAUCACAGGCAGGCAGCACGGUCACAAAGGAGCCCCGCCAGCAGCAGUUCCCACGUGGUGGAACGGAUGACCAGCCACCAGCCCUGGCCUCUUGGCUCCCAACAGAUGGAUACCCCGCAGAGGCCUGGCCACCAGAAUGCCACUGCUUAUGUGUCAGCUGCUUGUACCUCGGAAACCACCUUCCAGGAGAGUGGUGGCCCGUAUCCGCUUCUGCCCGCACCACUCAUAUUCCUCAAAGCGGUUGCUAUUCUCAUGCUCGAUGUCCACAGCAUCGUCCUCAGCCACACAGGAGCCUUCCCUCUGUGAAGAGCAGAGUAGGAUCAUGUGGGUCCCAGGCCACCACUACCUGCUCCCCAGGGUCUACGAGGAGGGCAUAGCCCUAACCUCCAGCUUUGGUGAGCCAGGUGGGCCUCCAGAUCUAGGGUCCCUUUCACAUAAACCAAUCUGGAGGUCGAAGACCUGGGCCUCUUCCCAAUUAUUUUCCAUUGGAGCCCCAGGGGAGGAGCGGAAGAGUGAAAGCAAAGGAAGAGGGCAAAGAACAGAGAGGAAAAAGCUGCUGAGACCACAUGGAGACCCCAACACAGCCCAUAAAUCUGGGGGUAGUCAGCAGCUAGUGUAGGGGAAGGGAGGGAGGAAGGGGUGAAGAGGUAGGUAGUGAUGGCCCCUCUACCUUAGAAAGGCAAUGCUCCACAUGCCUACUCAUCUCCUGCUCCGAUCCUGCCAGGGGGCGGUUGCACAGGGGACAUACCUGCCCUUCAUCUUGCUUCCUCCGUUUCAUUUUCCCAAUCCGAGCUGCAUGGAGAAACCGAAAACAAAGCACAGAACAGGCAAACGGUCACUGUAGCUCCCCUGGUCCCAGUGGAGCUGACACAUCCUGACCCCUUGCCAGCCAUUAGCCCUUUUGUUCAGUGCCUGAUCUGGUCCUCAUUAUGCAGCGCCUUCUGCUCCUUUGGGGACCGAGCCUUGCCAAGAGCACCUGGGGAGGAGGCUGGUGGUAGGCCAGUGAAGUGUCCACUCUGGCCACAGCUGGCUCAAGUUCAAUCCAUACUUCCCUACCUGCAGCCUUCAGUAAGUCCAGUGAGCAAAGACAUUCCAAGUUGCUAGAUAUCUGCCCAGAAACCCAAGACCAUGGGCUCUCUUAAAGAACAUCUCUUGGCUAGAACCCAAGGUCUCUCCAGGGGCCUGAUUUGGCCUGCUGUUCACUCAUCACCCUUUUUUUUGUUCCAGGGCCAAGGGCCCUGAGGUACAGCCCUUAGUAUCCUACCUAGAAUCCCUCAGGAAGAUUUUCUCUCAUGUCCAGGUACCAUUAAAAAAAAAAAAAAAAAA